GGGUUCUUGCAGAAACCUAACUGCCCAACUGAAACAUUUGGAUUUGAAUUUGAAAGGACAGCAGGUGCAGGCACUUAACUGAAAAAUGAAAAUGAACACAAUUCAAUGGAUAUCAAUCAACAAAGAGGUAAGAGUAUGUAGGCUAUAAGAAUAUGUUGAAGGCUAGCUGUAUUGGGCGCAGAUGACUGUGGGUGCAGAUGACUUCAGAUCACAUGCACCAUCCUCCUCCCUUACCUCUUCAAUGAAUAUCCCAUAGGCCUCUACAUUAUGGACAAGACUUCACCCUCCCUACACCUCUGAUGAAUAAAACAGGAAACAUGUUCAUUCACCAUGCACUGCAAAAUCAUUCUGGCUAUGAAUAUGGAGAACAUCAACACGCCAGAGGAUAUACCCUUUGGACUUUGGGCUCUGCUGCGAGAUUACCUCAUAUUUAGAUUUUUCUUUGUCACAAAUCAUA